rnacentral:tRNA from 2 species
GCGGACGUGGUGGAAUGGUAGACACGCCAUCUUGAGGGGGUGGUAGACGUAUGUCUGUGUGAGUUCAAAUCUCAUCGUCCGCA